rnacentral:rRNA from 1 species
GAUGAACGCUAGCGGCAGGCUUAACACAUGCAAGUCGAGGGGCAGCAUAAACAUUGCUUGCAAUGUUUGAUGGCGACCGGCGCACGGGUGCGUAACGCGUAUGUAACCUACCUCAAACAGGGGCAUAACACUGAGAAAUUGGUACUAAUUCCCCAUAACACCUGAUAGGGCAUCCUAAUGGGUUGAAAGUUUCCGGCGGUUUGAGAUGGACAUGCGUUGUAUUAGCUAGUUGGUGAGGUAACGGCUCACCAAGGCGACGAUACAUAGGGGGACUGAGAGGUUAACCCCCCACAUUGGUACUGAGACACGGACCAAACUCCUACGGGAGGCAGCAGUGAGGAAUAUUGCGCAAUGGGGGGAACCCUGACGCAGCAACGCCGCGUGAAGGAAGAAGGUCUUC